AUUGAACGCUGGCGGCAGGCCUAACACAUGCAAGUCGAGCGGAGGAAGGGAGCUUGCUCCUGGAUUCAGCGGCGGACGGGUGAGUAAUGCCUAGGAAUCUGCCUGGUAGUGGGGGAUAACGUCCGGAAACGGGCGCUAAUACCGCAUACGUCCUGAGGGAGAAAGUGGGGGAUCUUCGGACCUCACGCUAUCAGAUGAGCCUAGGUCGGAUUAGCUAGUGGGUGGGGUAAAGGCCUACCAAGGCGACGAUCCGUAACUGGUCUGAGAGGAUGAUCAGUCACACUGGAACUGAGACACGGUCCAGACUCCUACGGGAGGCAGCAGUGGGGAAUAUUGGACAAUGGGCGAAAGCCUGAUCCAGCCAUGCCGCGUGUGUGAAGAAGGUCUUCGGAUUGUAAAGCACUUUAAGUUGGGAGGAAGGGCAGUAAGUUAAUACCUUGCUGUUUUGACGUUACCAACAGAAUAAGCACCGGCUAACUUCGUG
rnacentral:rRNA from 1 species